UGCACUAUCACUCAAAAGAUGAAGUCACCUUUUACAAAGUUCAGUCUAAGCCUCCCCACUGAAGUGUGAAUGAAAUGAGCGAAGACGAGCAAAUUAUUGCAUCAAAUUUAAAAAUGGAUUUCUCAGAUCCGAAAACUCUCUUGGGAAAGAGAAUGUUGUAUGAAUUCCCUGUUACUCGACUCAUCCUAAUAGAAAAGAGAGAGACCUUACGGUUUGUUCAAUUUGCCCAACCAAAUUUUCAGAAACUGCUAUCUUAGACGUAGUAACCAGUGAAUGUAAAUCCUCUUCCUACUAUCUCACCAGCACAAUACCAUGCAAAGCACUCCAAGCCAAACAAAGCAGCAAUGCCUGCAUCUUCAACCUUCAAGUCCUUUCUAUUCCUCCACAUGUGCUUGACAGAGUCGACUUCCUUCCAAAAUGACUCACAACGGCCGGGGAUGCUAGCAAGGCGAGUGUAGAGCAACUGCUUGGACAAUUCAUUGCAUUUUUCAACAGUGGGUGGCUCUACAAUAUACUGUUUGUUCUGCUCCAGCAACUGUUUGUAGUAGGUAGUACCAUGCUUAGAGAGAAACUGUGAAGCUUGACAAGCCUUAGAUUGCAGUUGCUGAAUCUUGGAAGCCAUCAAUCCCAAGGAAGUCCUUUUGUUCAGCGGAUGAAAUCUACGAUUUUCGCUUCAAUCGCCGAUAGCCG
rnacentral:misc_RNA from 1 species